AUUCCAGCUCCAAUAGCGUAUAUUAAAGUUGUUGCAGUUAAAAAGCUCGUAGUUGGAUUUCUGGUACGGCGCGUUUGGCCGACACCCGUUAGGGUGUUCUGUGCCGUGCGCGCCUGCCAUCUUUCUAGAAAACCUCUCUACCCUUCACUGGGCCGGAUUGGCAGAUCUAGAACUUUUACUUUGAAAAAAUUAGAGUGUUUAAAGCAGGCUUGUGCUAUGAAUACAUUAGCAUGGAAUAAUAGAAUAGGAGGUCGUUUCUAUUUUGUUGGUUUUCGGAAAUCGACUUAAUGAUUAAUAGGGACAGUCGGGGGCAUUUGUAUUCAAACGACAGAGGUGAAAUUCUUGGACCGUUUGAAGACAAACUACUGCGAAAGCAUUUGCCAAGAAUGUUUUCAUCG
rnacentral:rRNA from 1 species